AGGGCAGACUGCGUUGCUAGCAGCUGAGUGAAGGCCGAAAGGGCCAAUGGAAACGUUAGACGACGCUCGGGCCUCUGGGUAGAGCGUUGGUGUCCGCUUUCGUGAAAUCGAGUUGCCUAACCCAGAGCUUUCCCGAGAUGGUCUUCGUUACAGGUGUCUGGGAGGCGGCUUAAGCUCACUUCACUAGGUCAUUAAGCAUGUACUUUGGUGGUUACAUAUAUCUUGGAAGUCACCGGCUUUACAUUCUGUUUUCCUGGCCUUCGAACUGGAGCAUCAGUACUACCGCCGUUGGAAUAGCAACCUAGAGACUUUGCUAUUUUGUGAAGAAACUCUAACUAUCCGCAUGGGCACAGAAUUUUGGGUGCUCUGGUGCAAAUGUCUCAGGUGACUUGGCGUAACUGAGAAUACAGCCUUGGGACCUUCGGUAAUCGGGGUUCCAAUCUGGGAGGUCCAGGCACAACCCUUCCUAUGGGAAAGUACCAGCAUAGUGGGAGGGAAGCACACGGUAGCGCUUAAAAUCCCUUGUAGAGAGGAAAGAAGGAAAACUAGGCUACCUGAUGGAUUUGUAGCACACCAACAGUACAUUUGUUCUGAUUUCUGAUAUUCUUUUGAAUAUUCUUUGGCAACAAGUUAAUCACUAAAGAGAAGCACAUCUCUGGCUGCCCUCAGUACACUAAGAGAAUCAGACCUCAGAGGUGGCUGCAUUUUAUUGUUGGGAAUAAGAAGACUGCAAUUCAGGAAGACAUAUAGUAGUCUAUAAGUGAUUCAGGACUGGAACUCAGUUAUCCUAAUUCCCUCUCGGAGGCUCUUUCCACCAUGCCAUCUGCUCGUCUGGUGCUUUCCAUCCAUGAACUCUGGAAAACAAGCUUGAGAUACCAAAAUUGAAAAGACAGCUCAUCAAAAAUGAAUAGUUAUAAUUCUAUAAGUACAAAAAUGAAAUACUCAAAUCUCUUGCCCCCCCUCCUGCUAGGAGCAUAAAUGUUAACCUGAGUUCUCUAGCUCUGUACAAAUCCACAGCAAUUAAGACUGCACUGUGAGGGAAAAUACUUUUCUAAAAAAGAAUCCUGAUCAAGUUGAAACAAAAAUUUUAAAACAUGAAAUGGAAGGAACGAAA
rnacentral:lncRNA from 1 species